UACGUAGGAGGCAAGCGUUGUCCGGAAUUACUGGGCGUAAAGCGCGUGUAGGUGGUGGGACAAGUCUGCUGUGAAAGCGCCUGGCUUAACCGGGCGAGGUCGGCGGAAACUGUCCGACUCGAGGACGGUAGAGGGGGGUGGAAUUCCCGGUGUAGUGGUGAAAUGCGUAGAGAUCGGGAGGAAUACCGAUGGCGAAGGCAGGUCUCUGGGCUGAUACUGACGCUCAUGCACGAAAGCGUGGGGAGCAAACAGG
rnacentral:rRNA from 1 species